UAGGGAAUCUUCGGCAAUGGACGAAAGUCUGACCGAGCAACUCCGCGUGAGUGAAGAAGGUUUUCGGAUCGUAAAACUCUGUUGUUAGAGAAGAACAAGGACGUUAGUAACUGAACGUCCCCUGACGGUAUCUAACCAGAAAGCCACGGCUAACUACGUGCCAGCAGCCGCGGUAAUACGUAGGUGGCAAGCGUUGUCCGGAUUUAUUGGGCGUAAAGCGAGCGCAGGCGGUUUCUUAAGUCUGAUGUGAAAGCCCCCGGCUCAACCGGGGAGGGUCAUUGGAAACUGGGAGACUUGAGUGCAGAAGAGGAGAGGGGAAUUCCAUGUGUAGCGGUGAAAUGCGUAGAUAUGUGGAGGAACACCAGUGGCGAAGGCGGCUCUCUGGUCUGUAACUGACGCUGAGGCUGGAAAGCGUGGGGAGCAAACAGG
rnacentral:rRNA from 1 species